AAUCUUUAUUUACUAUAUAACGAUUACUUUGGUCUUUUAAACUAUUUUUUCUUUCUCUUGCAAUACGAGACUUACUUUUCUCUCUCAAGUUAUUUUCUCAUUUCCUAAGCUCUAAUGACUCUUGAUUCCACCGUCUGCUCUUCCUGUCUGGGAUUUGCGUUCCCGUUUCAAUAUCAUCUUAAAAUUUCACUUUCUUUUAGUUGUUUCUUUGGUUCAUUUUCUUAUAUUCCAUUUCUCACCACCUUUUUUCAUUUUGU
rnacentral:lncRNA from 1 species